rnacentral:lncRNA from 1 species
CCUGUGCACUCUUCAUCCAGGCUCUUCCCAUGAUAACAUCUUGCAUGAUUAAAAUACAACCUCAGAACAAGGAUGUUGGUAUUAGUUUUUCACUCUUUUCACUGAGCUAAAUAAAUUAAUGAAUUUACUCUAAGCUCUGCAAAUAUUACAUAAUUAUCUCUUUACAUAUGUAGGUGUUUAAGUGUGUGGGUGCAUGGUACGUGUGUGUGUGUGAAUGUGUGUAUAAAUAACUGUAUUUUAAAUAUAUGAAAAAUAGCUGUCUCAUUCCUUUUUCUUUCGCAUAAUUUAAAUAUUUACCUAUUAGCUCCUUGUUUAAAAGACUAUUCAUAGCUAAAUACUUAAUCAUACUAUAUUUAUAACCAUUCUUUACUUCCUUGCUUACUUCUUCUAAAGGUAUGUUUCUCAAUAAUAAUUAACUGGAUAAUAAAUAUCCUUUAUCCAGACUUAAUAUAAUGCGAUGAGUUUACUCUUGUCUUAAGUGUCUAAAAAUGCCCUCAGAAAUACUGCAUUGGGAGGACAAGUUAGGGAUUUUUUUGCUCUUGAAGGAUCAGGACCAAAUGCCUCAUAUAAAGUUUCCUGGAAACCAAUAAUAUUUAAUAAUAGAUAGCUUUCUCUUGGAAUUUGAUCUAGAGCUUAAUGUUUCAUUGCUAUUUCCAGUAUUAAUUACCAAUACCCUUACAGGACAGUAUUUAUAAGGUAAUUUGUUGCGCCAUUAACUUCGCAAUUCUCCUGACAAUGGCGUGGCUAAAUUUCACAUUCCAUUUUUUAUGGAAUAAAUUGUCUACACUAUUGAUGGGAAAUUAAUGAUAAAACGAAGAUUCUCUUUUGUUUUCCUUCUAUUUAUCUUAAGCCAUCUUUGAUUUUAUAUCCAACUUGCUGUAUUUUACAUCUAUAUACCCUUAGGUAAACAUGGGUAAGGAGACAUAGGUUUCAUUUUAGGCUUUGGCUUUCUUCAAAAUGGACUGUGUUUAUAAAUAAUAAGAGGUCUUAUAGAAAGUGGAAUGAGCCAGGCAUCUUCAGUUUUGUGUCUAGAAGCAGUCUUAGAGAAAAACAAUCAUAUUGGAAUGGAGGCAAUAUUUUGUCUUCAAGAGAAGCAAAAAAAUAUGGGGUGAAUCUUGGCACCCCUUCAAAUCUCUUACUUGCUGAAGGCUUUAGGAAUGAUAAAAUACAUUUAUAGGAAAUUUUAAGCUGGAUAAAUAUUGAAAAUUUGUCAAACUCUUUGAUAAUACCCAAAGAAUUAUUACCAGAUUGGUGAUAAUAAAUGAAAAAUAUAGAAUGACAAGAUAAGAGGAUUAGGAUAUUUUUCAAGCAUAUUUAGUGUUUCUAGCAUCCAUGCAAGUUUGUCAUUAUUACUUUUGCUUUAAAAAUAUGAAAAAGUAAAGUUCGGGAAACUUAAGCAACUUACCUAAAGUUGGAAAGGUAGAAAUGAUCACAGACAGAAAAUGAAUUUAGUUGUGAUUUCUCCAAAAACAUUUAAAUUGCUCCUUCCCCUAUAAAAACUGGAAUCUUCUUUAAGUGUUUGUUUUCAAUAAAUCCUGAAAAGUAAAUAUAAACAGGUAUCAUAAUUAUUUUUAAUAUCAAAACAACAAUUUAUAUACAGAAAUAAUGAAGCUUUUUUUAAAGGAACAUUCCAAUUAGUAAAAAAGAAAAGCUCAAACAAUUUCUGGUAACUUAGUUAUAUAUAUGAUUAUAACUUCCAGGACUCUGGGUAUGCUAGGUAUUCAGCAUCAAUAGAUAUUUGAACAACCACAUAUACCCCAUCACAUACUUGUCUCUAAUAUCUAUGUGCACUACCCAGCUGGGACUUUUCUUUCCAGAUCACUUCUGAUGAUUCUGUGAGUGUUUCAAGAACCAUAACUGAAGUUGUGGAAAAUUAAGAGGAGGUUGAUGCAUGUCCUGGACUAUUGAUAUGGGACAGAGUUGAUGGGUCCCAAGCAAAAUUUCAGAGGGCAGGAAAUUAUUCUUCUACUAGUUACUGAUCAAGACCCACAGGAAACAUGUUCCUAGUGAGAUACAAUGUAUCCUACUAAUUCCCAUGCCCAAUAACUAUAAAAAUGGCCUCUGUACUCACACAACGAUGUCACAUGUUCAUUUGAGUGACAAAGGAUGGGUCACAGCUAAGACCACCCAGCAUUGGCUAAAACAUGCUCAGAAGUCUCAUCAUUCUUGUAUCUAACUGUUCCUUCCACUUCUUCUUAGUGGUCAGGACCUACCAUCACAUGGCUCCCCUCACAGCCCUGGUGACCAGUACCUUGACAGUAGAGGCCAGAGUGAAGUUGCCUCUUUUUGCUUUCCAGUCACAUUGUCAUUAUCUGAACAUUCCUCUUCCCUUAGUAUCUCCUCUUUUAGUUUGCAAGAAGUAUUGCUUAAAAAUUUAAAAAGAACACAAAUUAAAAUAAAUUGAACAUUAGUUUCUUCACUGUAUUCUUGCUGUAAUGCCAAUUUUUAUGUCUACCAGAAGAUUUGGGAUUGAAAACAGGAAAGUAUAUAUUCUUAUUUAGCUCCAUGCUUGUGUUUUUGUGCAUGUCAGUGAUACAAUGUACACACACAUACAUAUGCUUAUAUUAUAUUAAAAAUAUAUACUAGCAUGUGAGCUCUAAAGAGGACAAGGACUGCCCAUUUUCUUACAUUUGUGUUCUCAAUGCAUAUUAGGGUAACAGUCAUGGAAAAAAAUAUUUGUUAAAUGAUUGUAUAUGCUGGUUGUAUAUCCUAGGCUUUUGGUUUGCAUGUCCUGGAUAUUUUCUGUGGGGCCCCCACAAUCCACUUACCCCUCUUCACUACUACUCUCUGUGCCAUGUGGUGCUUACCCCAGGGACUUCAUCAAAGAGUUCUCUUGCCCUCCAGCUUUCAAUAUGGUUGAACCACUGGGUGUCAUUGGCAAGAUGUUGGAGGAUGGGAAAAAAUUACUCCCACAUCCUCCCUCCCUGAAAGUUCAGCAGAAUUUGUCCAUGUUCCUCUCCCAAAGGCCACAGCAUCUGUCAGGGAAAGUAAUGCAUGGUCCUAGAGCUGUAGUUUUUUCUCAGUCUCAGUGACUAUUCUCUGUAGUUGUAUCUGAAGCCUUUGAGUGGCUGAUGCUCCAGAUAAUUUAGGAUAAUCCUUAAUAGUUCCCUAUAAUCCUAGCAACAUCUUCAUAAAUAUGACUUUUAUUGAAUUUUAAUCAUUUAAACAUAUGAUUAUAACAUGUGUCUCCACUAGGACUCUAAGUGAUACAAGUUAAUUCUUAUUUUUCUAUAGCUUAAGUAACACUUCUACUAUAGUUUCCACUUUUACCUGAAUAAAGAAUAAAAUAUUAUAAUAGCCCUAAUAUUAUCCAAAAGUGAUGAGUCUUGCUGAGAUUUUCCACUUGUCAACGUUUUACCCUUCCAGCUCUAAGGAGCUCCUGCUGUAUUUCCCCAAUUCAAAGCAAAGAUGAUAUCAGAUGAAGGGCAAAAACACAGAAGACUGUAGACAAAGGAAGAGAUUAUAAAGCAUGAUGCACACAAGUACUUUUUCAAAGACGAAACAUACCACCUUGUAUACCCAAAGCAAGUGAACAACAAGUAACAUGAGACUUCCCUGAAGCUACUGUGCUAUGGAACAAUGUAAGUGGGACUUCAUCCCCUUUUACAUCCCAGAAUUUGCAGCUGCCUUAUCACUUGCUUUUUCUUCUAGCAAUAGUAAAUAGAAAUCAAUGAAAUGAAUCACAUCUCAUUUUAAAGCUCCUUUAUUAUUAAAUUCUAAAAGACAGACUUAUCUUUUCCUGAUAAAUAAUUUCUCCAAAGAGUUUUAAGAAAUGACCUUUAGUCUCAACAGAUUUCCUUUUACUUCAAUUGUUUUUAUGUUGUCCUCUAAUUCUUCAAAUUUACGUGUUUUCAAUUCAGACUUCUCAUUAAAAUACAUUAUUCUACAAUUUUCUUUCUCUACUCUUUUUAACUGAUAAGAGUCCCAGCAGCCCUCCACAGAUCUCAACUAUAUGCCUAAUAGUCAUGUUGUUUGGAGUUUACAAACCUCACUGGAGGAGGGAAGUAAUUGGACAUGUGAUGUAAAGCUUCAUAUACAUAGUAAAAUUACCCUCUGCAGCACUAAGAGGGUAUUGGUCACAGCUCCAAAGUAAGUGAAAGAAAGGUUAUUUCCUUCUAAAAUAGCAUAGAAUUCACAAAUUAAGUUAUUGCUCAGGGAUUGCUUCAUAAGGAAGGUGGAAGCAUCUAUUAUUAGCCAAUUUCUCUAUUCUUCUACACAUUCAUGUCUCAAAAAUUAUUUCUAAUGUAUACUUCAUGGAAAAAAUAUAAAUCUUUUAAACACAAUUAUAUAAAAACAUAAACAGAAGAAUAAAAGAGAAAAUAUAUCCAAGUCAGCUUUGAUAAACUUUGAACUAUCUUACUAAUUAAGGUUAAAUGCAGACUUGCACUGUGCUUUAUCAUAGUGUUAAACAUUUUUUUUCAUUGUUAAAAUAUUGGAACAGUUUUCAUUCUUAAAUGACUCAGUUUAAUCUAUCUAGAUGAAAUACAUGUAUUAGUCACUUUGAUUUUAAGACUUUACAGGAAAGUUGAAAGCCACUUGUAUGUUGAUUUUUCAAGUAAUAUAUUAUUAUAGUAGGUUAAUUGCUGCAAUGAGUUAUUCAUACCAAGAAAAGAACAAAAUAAAUUCAGAUCAACUAGAAAUGAAACUGAAUAUGUCAUAAAAACACUCCCUACAAAUAAAAGUCCAGGACCAGAUGGCUUCAUAGGUGAAUUCUGCCAAACAUAUAAAGAGGAUCUGGUGCCCAUCCUCCUUAAACUUUUUCAAAAGGUUGAAGAAGAAGGAACACUCCCAAAGACAUUCUAUGAUGCCACCAUCCCCCUACUUCCAAAACCAGACAAAGAUAACACCAAAAAAGAAAACUAUGAGCCAAUAUCUUUGAUGAAUAUAGAUGCAAAAAUUCUCAACAAAAUUUUAGCCAAUCGAAUCCAACAACAUAUCAAAAAGAUCAUACACCAUGACCAGGCAGGGUUCUUCUCAGGAUCACAAGGAUGGUUCAAAAUUUGAAAAUCAAUCAACAUCAUAUACCACAUUAACAAAAGAAAAGUCAAAAAUCAUAUGAUUAUCUCAAAAGACGCAGAAAAAGUAUUUCAAAAAGUCCAACAUCCUGGAGUUUCUGUCGUGGCUCAGUGGUUAACAAAUCCAACUAGGAACCCUGAGGUUGCAGGUUCGAUCCCUGGCCUUGCUCAGUGGGUUAAGGAUGUGGCGUUGCCAUGAGCUGUGGUGUAGGUUGCAGACGCGGUUUCAAUUUGGACUUGCUAUGUCUCUGGCGUAGGCCGGGGGCUAUAGCUCCGAUUGGACCCCUAGCCUGGGAAUCCCCAUAUGC